UACGGAGGGUGCGAGCGUUGUCCGGAAUCACUGGGCGUAAAGGGCGCGUAGGCGGCCUGAUAAGUAGGGGGUGAAAUCCUGCGGCUUAACCGCAGGGCUGCCUUCUAAACUGUCAGGCUCGAGCACAGUAGAGGCAGGUGGAAUUCCCGGUGUAGCGGUGGAAUGCGUAGAGAUCGGGAAGAACAUCGGUGGCGAAAGCGCUCUACUGGACCGCAACUGACACUCAGGGACGAAAGCUAGGGGAGCGAAUGGG
rnacentral:rRNA from 1 species